CCUGGCUCAGGAUGAACGCUGGCGGCGUGCUUAACACAUGCAAGUCGAACGAUGAGGCCCACUUGUGGGUGGAUUAGUGGCGAACGGGUGAGUAACACGUGAGUAACCUGCCCUUGACUCUGGGAUAAGCCUGGGAAACUGGGUCUAAUACCGGAUAUGACCUUCCAUCGCAUGGUGGUUGGUGGAAAGCUUUUGUGGUUUUGGAUGGACUCGCGGCCUAUCAGCUUGUUGGUGGGGUAAUGGCCUACCAAGGCGACGACGGGUAGCCGGCCUGAGAGGGUGACCGGCCACACUGGGACUGAGACACGGCCCAGACUCCUACGGGAGGCAGCAGUGGGGAAUAUUGCACAAUGGGCGGAAGCCUGAUGCAGCGACGCCGCGUGAGGGAUGACGGCCUUCGGGUUGUAAACCUCUUUCAGUAGGGAAGAAGCGAGAGUGACGGUACCUGCAGAAGAAGCGCCGGCUAACUACGUGCCAGCAGCCGCGGUAAUACGUAGGGCGCAAGCGUUAUCCGGAAUUAUUGGGCGUAAAGAGCUCGUAGGCGGUUUGUCGCGUCUGCCGUGAAAGUCCGGGGCUCAACUCCGGAUCUGCGGUGGGUACGGGCAGACUAGAGUGAUUAGGGGAGACUGGAAUUCCUGGUGUAGCGGUGAAAUGCGCAGAUAUCAGGAGGAACACCGAUGGCGAAGGCAGGUCUCUGGGCAUUAACUGACGCUGAGGAGCGAAAGCAUGGGGAGCGAACAGGAUUAGAUACCCUGGUAGUCCAUGCCGUAAACGUUGGGCACUAGGUGUGGGGGACAUUCCACGUUUUCCGCGCCGUAGCUAACGCAUUAAGUGCCCCGCCUGGGGAGUACGGCCGCAAGGCUAAAACUCAAAGGAAUUGACGGGGGCCCGCACAAGCGGCGGAGCAUGCGGAUUAAUUCGAUGCAACGCGAAGAACCUUACCAAGGCUUGACAUGAACCGGACCGGGCUGGAAACAGUCUUUCCCCUUGUGGGCUGGUUUACAGGUGGUGCAUGGUUGUCGUCAGCUCGUGUCGUGAGAUGUUGGGUUAAGUCCCGCAACGAGCGCAACCCUCGUUCUAUGUUGCCAGCACGUGAUGGUGGGGACUCAUAGGAGACUGCCGGGGUCAACUCGGAGGAAGGUGGGGACGACGUCAAAUCAUCAUGCCCCUUAUGUCUUGGGCUUCACGCAUGCUACAAUGGCCGGUACAAAGGGUUGCGAUACUGUGAGGUGGAGCUAAUCCCAAAAAGCCGGUCUCAGUUCGGAUUGGGGUCUGCAACUCGACCCCAUGAAGUCGGAGUCGCUAGUAAUCGCAGAUCAGCAACGCUGCGGUGAAUACGUUCCCGGGCCUUGUACACACCGCCCGUCA
rnacentral:rRNA from 1 species